AUACGAACUGCGCAAACGUUAUUCGGAAUCACUGGGCUUACAGGGUGCGUAGGCGGCUCGUCAGGUCCGAUGUGAAAUCCCACAGCUCAACUGUGGAACGGCAUUGGAAACCGACAGGCUUGAGUGAGCUAGAGGGACACGGAACUUCCGGUGGAGCGGUGAAAUGUGUUGAGAUCGGAAGGAACACCAGAGGCGAAGGCGGUGUCCUGGGGCUUGUCUGACGCUGAGGCACGAAAGCCAGGGGAGCGAACGGGAUUAGAUACCCAGGUAGUCCUGGCCGUAAACGAUCCGUACUAGACGGAGGGGGGUUCGCCCUUCUCGGUCGCAGCGAAAGCGAUAAGUACGGCGCCUGGGGAGUAUGGUCGCAAGGCUGAA
rnacentral:rRNA from 1 species